rnacentral:lncRNA from 1 species
GAAUGGCUCCAAUUCUCAGAAUGUGAAAGCGUAAAUCAGAACCUACUAUUUUGUAAAACCAACUUGGAAAACAAAAUUGUCAGAAGCAAAACAACAACAACAACAACAAUAAAAACCAAACCAACAACAAAACCAAGCAAGUCAGGCUGUUUUACCAAUAAAGGGGGCACUGAAUGGAAUCAGAGAUCUGAUAAGUGCCGGGAAGUUGGACUAAGAGGGACAGGAGACUUCGAAACUUCUCUGAAUACUGCCAACUGUCAGUACUGCAAGUGGUCCACCCACCAAAGAGAUGGAACUCAACGUGGUAGAAUAGAAGCUGAGACAUGUGGACUUGACAGACUUGAGACUCGGCUAUUCAUCCCAGCUCUGAGAGCCCAUGCAGCUCAUUGAGCCUUCGCGACUCCUGGUUUUACUUUCAGCAAAAUGGAGAUAUUAAGACAGGUUCCCUUGUGGUCCAGGAGACCUCAAACUCUCUCUGUAGAUGAGGAUAACCUUGAAUUCCUGAUCCUCCUGCUCUCAUCUUUCAAAAUAGAUGCCUCCAAGGUGAUUUACACGUUCUUCUUGUCUUGAGGU